UCCACAAUCAAGUUGGCCAUGUUGGUCAUCAUCAGACACGUUGAUACACUUUGCCACUCUUCUUGGCCACAUCACUCAACUUCUCCACAUGAAGAUUUCAGUUGAUCUGCUUCCACAAAUUUGCAUUUUAUACACGGCUUUCCUAUUCAGUUUAUACAAGUUGAAGAAAUAUUUACAAGUCAGUACGGAGUUCAAACACUUGCUUCUUCAUCAAUUUCCUCAACAACAUUAUAGUUCAAGAUAAAUCUUAUUCAGACGUCAAUGAUCCUCCCUCUGUUAUUGAAUCCUCCCUUUUGGUGCGAUAUUUCUGAUUAUGCAAUUUCUGAUUAGGAAAGCAUCCAAAAUGCUCGAAUCUCUGCGAACAUGAAGAACAAUGAAGCGAAGAUGGAUCUAGGAACUCCAUGUCGGAAGUCAGAUCAUUUGAAGGGAAAGCCUGCAGAUUUUUAUGCCUCAUCUCCCAAAGGUUUUCUUUAAGUAGAGCAUCAGUUUAAUUUUGUAGAACUUAAAAAUAUGCUGUAAGAUUUAUAAUUUUGGGAACUAUUGUUGUUUAGAUUUAUAUCUUGAAAGAAGUGAAUGUUCAUUAAACGUGAA